rnacentral:misc_RNA from 1 species
AACCUAGCACACCUGCGGUGUGUACCUGCGGAGGGAUCAUUAUAGUAUAUGGAAUCUCCAUUCUAUAAACCCACUCUGCGUAUCUUGUAACUGUUGCUUCCAUGGGACUUGGUUCCGCCACACCGGCUUCACGGCUGGUGAGCGCCCAUGGAAGGAGAAACAAAACUCUUCUUUGAAAUGUAGUCAGUCUGAACAAGUUUUUAUAAACGUUAAAACUUUCAACAACGGAUCUCAGAUCGG